rnacentral:rRNA from 1 species
GAUGAACGCUGGCGGCGUGCCUAAUACAUGCAAGUCGAGCGAACAGAUGAGGAGCUUGCUCCUCUGACGUUAGCGGCGGACGGGUGAGUAACACGUGGAUAACCUACCUAUAAGACUGGGAUAACUUCGGGAAACCGGAGCUAAUACCGGAUAAUAUAUUGAACCGCAUGGUUCAAUAGUGAAAGACGGUUUUGCUGGCACUUAUAGAUGGAUCCGCGCCGCAUUAGCUAGUUGGGAAGGUAACGGCUUACCAAGGCAACGAUGCGUAGCCGACCUGAGAGGGUGAUCGGCCACACUGGAACUGAGACACGGUCCAGACUCCUACGGGAGGCAGCAGUAGGGAAUCGUCCGCAAUGGGCGAAAGCCUGACGGAGCAACGCCGCGUGAGUGAUGAAGGUCUUCGGAUCGUAAAACUCUGUUAUUAGGGAAGAACAAAUGUGUAAGUAACUAUGCACGUCUUGACGGUACCUAAUCAGAAAGCCACGGCUAACUACGUG